GACGAACGCUGGCGGCGUGCCUAAUACAUGCAAGUAGAACGCACAGGAUGCACCGUAGUUUACUACACCGUAUUCUGUGAGUUGCGAACGGGUGAGUAACGCGUAGGUAACCUGCCUGGUAGCGGGGGAUAACUAUUGGAAACGAUAGCUAAUACCGCAUAAGAACAUUUACUGCAUGGUAGAUGUUUAAAAGGUGCAAAUGCAUCACUACCAGAUGGACCUGCGUUGUAUUAGCUAGUUGGUGAGGUAACGGCUCACCAAGGCAACGAUACAUAGCCGACCUGAGAGGGUGAUCGGCCACACUGGGACUGAGACACGGCCCAGACUCCUACGGGAGGCAGCAGUAGGGAAUCUUCGGCAAUGGGGGGAACCCUGACCGAGCAACGCCGCGUGAGUGAAGAAGGUUUUCGGAUCGUAAAGCUCUGUUGUUAAGGAAGAACGUGUGUGAGAGUGGAAAGUUCACACAGUGACGGUACUUAACCAGAAAGGGACGGCUAACUACGUGCCAGCAGCCGCGGUAAUACGUAGGUCCCGAGCGUUGUCCGGAUUUAUUGGGCGUAAAGCGAGCGCAGGCGGUUAGAUAAGUCUGAAGUGAAAGGCAGUGGCUCAACCAUUGUAGGCUUUGGAAACUGUUUAACUUGAGUGCAGAAGGGGAGAGUGGAAUUCCAUGUGUAGCGGUGAAAUGCGUAGAUAUAUGGAGGAACACCGGUGGCGAAAGCGGCUCUCUGGUCUGUAACUGACGCUGAGGCUCGAAAGCGUGGGGGAGCGAACAGG
rnacentral:rRNA from 1 species